AGCCAUUAUAACACAUCAUGGGAAACAUUUCUGAGCUGUUCUAUUAAUAACAGCAGUUCCUGAUUUCUUUGGUUUAAACUUACCUUUUUCACAUUUUCUUGUGACAUUUUCCAGAUAUAAAUUGUUAUGAUGAAGAGUCAUUCAUAGCAAGGGAAAAAGCUGUAAUUAUGUUUCUCUUUUCUAAAAGAAAGUGGGGCUGGAGGGGGAUUAUUUUACACAGAUCAGUGAAGGACACCCUAAUAAAGAUUGGUCUGGAACAUUUCUUUUUAUGACAAUUGACUUAUCGGCAAGAGUCAUUGUAGCAAAUCUGGAAAUUACAUAAUUGCCAGAAACUGUAGAUAUUUGACUUGGCAAGAACUUUAGGUGUCUCUGAUUUAUUAUUGUAAGAAUUUGGCUAUAUUUAACUACAUUGUCACUACUACUGUAACACAAAUAAACUAAACUGAAAACGUCCGGGAUGGCAAACUGGCACAGACAUCAAUCUGCAUGAAAGUAUUGAUUUCAACAGCUAAACACUCGUCUUCUCCACUCCACUGUGUUCUGCACUUCGAUCAAGUUAUUUGUGGGUCAUUCACUUUAUUAGACCCAGGCACAACAAUUAAAUGUAAAGGUAAAAAAAAAAAAAAAAAAGCUUGUUAUUUUUUAAUCUGUCCUUCAAAAGGCAGUGAAGUCUUUCCAAGUAACAACACCUAAAGGCAUUAAGCAAGGCCAAAAUUACAAGAAAUGUGGGUGACCAAGAUCAGAGUGGUGAAGCGGGAACAUUAAGAACUUAGAUUUGGAGGAUUUGCAGACCACAGCAAUUCCGAAAACACCCAUAAUUAUUCUUUGUAUCAGAAGAGCAGGUCACCACACAGUAGAUUAAGGUGAAUGUCUUUGCUUAAACCAUUUGCAUCAAAGAGAUUUACUUUGGCAAGUCCUCCUGGAGAAGUUUCCCCUUUGAUAAAGUUCAGUCUCUCUUGCUGGAGAAAAUGGUGUUUCCUGAAAAUGGAUUAUAAUCUACUCUUUAAUAUCUCCUUAUGUUUCUCAUGUUUAUCUUACUACCCCAUGGAGGAGCUGCUAAGAACAUCCCACAGUUUAUCUGUCUUGGCGUUCAGCAGGGCGGCAACAGCAGGAAUCAAUGGCACUGCUGCUGCUCUGCUCGGCCAUUGUAAAGGGAAAAAAAGUCCUACUGCUGUGUGAGAUCCACAUUCCUAUCUUCCAGAAGACACAUGUGCUGGCACCACCAUCGUCCAUCAGACCAGAAGAUUGAGUCUGCUGUCAGGUCAGAGCUUCUCUGCUGGCAGUUGG
ensembl:lncRNA